rnacentral:lncRNA from 1 species
AAAGGACAGUAUAAUGAACUCCAUGUAAUGAUCACCUGACUUCAGGGCUUUCUAUUUUGCAGUUUUGGUAAGUUGCAGAGCAGGGAUUUGAACUCAUAUCUGUUUUGUUUCCAAACCAUGUUCUUAAUUAUGAUCCCAUGCUUCUGCUUCUUCAUUUUGUUAGUUGAUGCUAUUGAAUAAUUUUAUAGUUGUUGGUAUUUUGGUGAAAUAGACACAAAAAGUGUUCAUAAUAUAACCCACUACAAUAGUGCAGUUUUGGAGUUUGUUAUAAGAUGGAGAAAGUGCUCUCUUUUAAUGCCAUGUAUUUAGUAAUAAGCAUUUUUUAGUUGCCCUAUUCUGCAAAGACAAAACCUGCUGAUACAGUCCGUCCUGUUUUAUAAAUCUUUGACCCAUUCAUCAGACUCUGACCACUCUAAAGAUAAAAGAUUAUGGUCAUAUUGGUCUUUCCGACUGAAGUGGCCUCCUGCAGAUUGAGCAAUUGUGUAAUUAUUAACUGUGGUAAUGGAUAUGUACUUGCAAGUUUCAUCUGGUAUCUUACUGAGCUUUAACCCUCUGCAUACACCCAAAAUGAAUUCUAGAAUCUUUGAGACUCAUCGGUUAUCUGUUACUUAACUCUUGUAUUUAAUUUUGCUAUGAUAAAUAUGUUGUUUCCCCUGCCCUCAUCACUGUCCAUCCCCUUACUUACACAUUCAUAACUCCUAUUCAUUCUGGUACUUAGUAGUAGCAGCCUUUGGUAUAAAUAGGUUUAAAAAUACUCAUUUUUAAAUGAGGCUUUCUAGUUAAUUUUUGGAAGGGUGGGAAUCCUACAUUUAUAGGGGUAUUUAUUCAGACAAAUAAGUGAAGGUACACUGAAGUAAUUGUUACAUAUAAAUAACAUGCUUUGUAGAAUUUUUAUUUACCUCAGACAUCUCUUUCUUUGGGUGAUUCUUUGAACUCUCAAGACACUUUGGUUUUACCACUGUGCUUCACCAUCUUUCUGAACCUAGAAGGCAAAUAGAGAUUUUAAUCUUGCCCUUGAUUCUUCUGUGAUCCUGUCAAAUGUAGUGAUGCUAGAAAUAUAGGUCUGAAAAGGAGAGAGAGAGAAAGAGAAAGAAAAAAGAUGGUUCAAUGUAGAUUUGUAAGACACAGUUGGAUAUGUGGUAGGAUUGGAUAAAAUUCUCCAGAAAAGCCUGGCUCAGUGGCACACCCUGUAAUCCCAGUUGCUCUGGAAGCUAAGUCAGGAGGAUUGUAAAUUCAAAGCCAGCCUUAGGAAGAGCAAGACACCAAGUAACUCAGUGAGACCCUGUCUCUAACUAAAAUACAAAAUAGAGCUGGGGAUGUGGCUCAGUGGUUGAGUACCCCUGAGUUCAAUUCCCAGCACCAAAAACAAACAAAAACAAAAACAAAAACAACAAAAAACAAAUUUCCAGAAAUAUGUGAGGUGAUGGAUAGAUAACAUUACCCUAAGUACAUGUAUGAAGACACAAAUAGUGUGAAUAUACUUUAUGUUGGGGGCUGGGGAUGUGGCUCAAGCCGUAGCGUGCUCGCCUGUCAUGCGUGUGGCCCGGGUUCGAUCCUCAGCACCACAUACAAACAAAGAUGUUGUGCCGCCGAAAACUAAAUAAAUAAAUAAAUAAAUAUUAAAAAAUUUAAAAAAAUAUAUACUUUAUGCACAACCAGAGAUAUGAAAAAUUGUACUCUAUAGGUGUAAUAUAAAUUAUAAUACAUUCUGCUGUCAUAUAUAACAAAUUAGAAUAAAAAAUAAUUAAAAAAAAAAAGAAAUGAGUGAAAUGAAGAGAUGCACCAGGAAGAAGUAGAGAAAGAAAAAUCAGAGCAGUGAAAGAACCAGUUAGGAAAGAGCAGUGAUCUAGAAACUAAGGAAAGAAAGAGUUUUACAGCUGAAAUGGUGAAGUGCUGGGUGUAGUUGGCAAUUUGGACUUCACUAUUGUCUUAAUAGAGAUAGGAAAUGAAAGUUAGAUUUUCAGGCAUUUAGGAGAUAGUGUUAAUUGAGGACACAAAAGCAGUAUCAUCGGGCUGGGAAUGUGGCUCAAGCAGUAGCGCGCUCACCUGGCAUGCCCGAGCGGCCCAGGUUCGAUCCUCAGCACCACAUACAAACAAAGAUGUUGUGUCUGCUGAGAACUAAAAAAUAAAUAUUAAAAUUCUCUCUCUCUCUCUCUCAAAAAAAAAAAAAAAAAAAAAAAAGCAGUAUCAUAUACUCUUUAAAUGUCUUGGAGAUUAGCAACAAUAGGCCUAUCUCUUGGGUUAUCCAAUUUAGAUAGCUUUCCUGGGCUUUAGAGUACAACUUUUUUCUGAAGAUUUAAUAAUGUUGAUAAUGACUUUAACAAAUUAAGUAACAGUUUUGUGAUUAACCAUAGUCCAAAAAGCCUAUGAAAAAUACAGAUAAUGGGCAGUUACAUGUUGGUUGUGUUGUCCCAGGCUUCUCUCUUCUGAGGACACCCUUGCUUUUAAUUCUGUAGUAGCUCAUAUCAUUGCUUUAUAAUUAUCUUUUUAAAGAUCCUUUUUUUUGUUGUGCAUUCUUAAUACUUGGCCAUAAUGCCUGACAAAUAGUGUUGAGUGUUGUGUGAAUGAUUGUCAGAUAAAUCACAAAAUAUUUCUAAUUUGGUGGUCUUUUAGGAUUAAAAAUGUAGAAUAUUUGAGGAAAGAAGAACUGAUAAACAGUUUCAAAUGGCAGUAAGAAAAGGUUUGAAAACUGACCUUUAUGUUUGACUUUUAGAAAGUCAUUGGUUUCUAAGUAUUAUAGCAAAAUUGUUGGGAUAGAAGUCAAAUUAGGGCUUGAAAAAUAAAUGAGAAGUGAGAACAAAGAAACCAGAUAGAAGUGGUUUUUUUUAAUUUUUUAAUUAAAAAAAUUUUGAAACUAAAGGGAAGAAACCAUUGGAGAGGAAACUAAAAAUUUAAAAGAGUAGAGUUCUUUAUCAUUGGCAGCUUUAUGAAUUUGUUUUGCAUAUAUCUAAGUACUUCCUCCAGUUCAUCAGGAUAAUAUAUUCCUCUCUUCUUGGUUUCAGUAUAUAUCUUGAACUUGAAGGAUUUUGCUGUGCUAUUUGGAGCCUCCUAGUGGCAAAUCUAAUAAUGGCAUUAAUCAUAAAAACAAAAAAAAUAGAUCUCAUAUAUCUGUUACUCCUUAUGCAGAUUAAUCUUUCUAUGAGGAUUAAAUUAAGGUGGGAUAUGUGAUAAUUAUAGUGAUGCUUAGUUCUUUGAUUUUCAGUGAGUCAAAACUUCACACCUAAAAUUACUAUAAUUUUGUCUCAAUAAUAAUUCAUUAUUACAAAUUGAAAAUUGUAGUAUAUUUAUUUUAUCUACUAGUUCCUUAACAGUGGCUAUCAUUGUUCUCAAUUCAUACUGAAAUGCUAGCUAUAGGACCAUUGUUAUGAAACUGUUGGAGCAUUAUAUUCUGUUGAAAGAUGUGAAAGAAAAGCCUGAAUUACCAAAAAAUUGAUAUUAUGAAAAUAAUACACAUUAAUUAUCCAUGAUAGUAAAACUUUUAAAAUAUAAAACUCUUUUAAAAAUCAUCCAUAAACUUGCUUCUUAGUGUUUUUCUCUGUAGGAUUCAAAAAAUAUUAUAAAAUAUUUCUGAACAAUAUAAUGAAUACUUAUGUAAACAUAUAUAGUUAAAAAAUAAAAUGUGAUCAGUAUAGUUGAAACCUUCUGUGUACCCUAGAUCACAUCCCUUUUAUUCUAUCCCAAAGGUAAUCACAAUCCUACAUUGGUUGUUUUAAAAGUCAAUAUAUAUAUGUGAAUAAAAAGAAAUAUGAACAUAUAUAUGUGUGUGUGUGUGUGUAUGUGUACUUGGGGAUUGAACCCAAGGACCCUCUAGUGCCGAGCUACAUACCCAGACCUUUUUAUUUAUUUUUAUUUUUAUUAUUUUUUACUACUGGAGAUUUAACCCAGGGAUGCUUUACCACUGAGCUACAUUUCCAGCCCCUUUUAUUUUUUAUUUUGAGACAGGGUUUGGCUGAAUUACUGAGGCUGGCCUCAAACUUGCAAUCCUUCUGCUUUAGUGUCCCAAAUAGCUGAUAUGGUACUGCACCUAGCUAUAUAUUGUAUUCUUAGAAUUACAUUUUAUUUAUUUACUUUUUUGGUACUAUGGAUUGAACUCAUGGGUGUUAACUACUGAGCCACAUCCCCAGCCAUUUUUUAUUUUUUAUUUUGAGACAGGGUCUCACUAAUGUGCUUAGAGCUUUGCUCAGUUGCUGAGGCUAGCUUUGAACUUGUGAUCCUCCUGUCUCUGCCUCCUGAAUUGUUGGGAUUACAGGCAUGCACCCACUGCACCUGGCUUAAAAUUUCAUUUUCAUUUACGAUUAUAUUUGUAAAAUGGAUCUGUGUUGACAUGUAGCUCUUAUUCAUUUAUUUUUGUUGCCAUGUUGUAGUAUCUCUGAAUAUUCCAUGUUUUAUCCAGUCUCUUCUUCAUGGAGUUUAAGUUGUUUUUAAUUUAUUGUUUGUAGUCUCCCAUGAUCACUCUUGUACAUGUUUUUUUAUGUAUACAUGGGUAAGAAUUUGCCAGGGUAGAAACUUGGAAGUACAGUUGUUCUCUUAAAUGGUAUGUGUGCCCUCAGUUUUACUGUAUUUUGCCAAAUUAUACUUCAAAGCCGUUUGCCAAUUAACUCUUCCAACAUAAGAGUUUUCCAGGCUGGGGAUAUGGCUCAAGCGGUAGCGCGCUCGCCUGGCAUGCGUGCGGCCCGGGUUCGAUCCUCAGCACCACAUACAAACAAAUGUUGUGUCCGCCAAAAAGAAACCUAAAAAAUAAAUAUUAAAAUUCUCUCUCUCUCUCUCUCUCUCUCUCUCUCUCUUUAAAAAAAAAAAAAGAGUUUUCCAAUCUUGGGUAUUGUCAGACUAUUCAAAUUUUUUCUCAAUCCUGUGGAUGUGAAACAGUGGUUUCUUAAAAACAAACAGAUUUGUAUUGUAGGAUAUUUUAACAUGUACAAAAAUAGAUUAGUGCAGUGAAUUGUUUUGUGUUUCAUCACCCUCAUCUCACCAGUUAUUGACACAUGGCUAGUCUUGUUUUGUCUACACCCUUUGCCCCUCCUCUCUCAUGUUAUUAUGAAGAAAUCUGAGAUAGAAUACUAUUCUAUCUGAAAAGACUCAUCUUCAGCACAUACUGCUUUUUAAAUGUAGCCACAAUAGCCUUAUCUCACUAUAAACUGACAGUAAUUCUUUCAUUUAUCAAAUGUUAGUCAGUGUUUCAGUUUUUCCAAUUUUCUUAUAAUACUUUCACAUUUGUUUGUCCAAGUCAGGAUCUAAAUAAGACCCAUGCAUUGUAAUUGGUCUCAAUCUAUAGGUUUCCUUCACUCUUUCUUACAGUCUCUAUCUUUGUGAGGUUAGUAACCAUUAAGGAUCAUUGCCUAAAAGAUCCACUAAUUCACAAAUGUACAAGAAAUUGAGGAGCUGAGACGCAGCUAGCAAAAUGAUGAUAGUAUAUCAUUCUUUCUUUGGUUACUAGCAGGAUCUCUAUAAAGAUAGAUUUCUAGCUGGGCAUGGAGGCUCAAUCCUAUUACAGCUACUUGGGAGGUUGAGGCAGGGGGAUUACAAGUUCAAGACUGUCCUGGGCAAUUUGGUGAGAGACCCUGUCUUAAAAUUUAAAAAGGACUGGGGAUUUAGCUCGGUGGUAGAGAGUUUGCCUAGCAAGCAUGAGGUUAUGGAUUUGAUUCUAAGUAUCACUAAAUUAAAAAAAAAAAAAAGAUUUCUUUUCAUCACAUAGUUGGUUAUCUUAGGAUAUUAUUAAGAUAGGAUGAAAUUCUUUUUUAAAUCUCAUUUAUCAGCUUUAAAGAAGUCCCUAUGACCAUUGAGAGAAUUUGCUUUAGUUUUCUUUAUUUACUCAUGGGGAUUUAAGCAUGUUUGAAAUGAUCUAACCCAUUACACUGUUUUCCUUGUUUAUGCUCAAUGGGAACUUCUUCAAGUUAAUUCUGAUUUCUUUUGAUAUAAUCCUAAUCAUCUUUUAUAAUUGUUUUUAGGGGGCAGGGCUUCUGGUAUGAUAUAUUUUAGGUUCAUCUGUAAUUUCCUGCCCCAAACCUUGAAUCAGCCAUUUCUUUAAGGAGACUGAGUCAGAUAGCCAGCCUCUGUCUAGCAGUACCAAAAUGUCAAACUUCCAGAAAGAAAGCAAGUGUUCAGGAUUGACUCUAUUGUUUUACAUAAAUCCCAUUCUUUCACAGAUACCAGCCAGCCAAGGUCACUUUAUAUGCAGAUUUUUUAAAAGGAUGUAGUCUCAGGCCUGCUACUUUACCUUUUAUAUGUAUGGAUACCUAUUAGAUAUCUUAUGGCAAGGAAUAAGUAGAAAAUUGGAUAAGGAGUCAGGAAUUCAAAGGAGAGGUUGUGGACUAUUAUCCUGUAGAAGCCAUUUAAAGCCCUGAGACUGAAUGUAGGUAGUGAGUUCAGAGAUUCAAGUACUGGGACCUUGUACAAGAAAUUGAAGAGCUGAGAAGCAGCUAGCAAAGGAGCAGCUUGCAAAAGCUAGAAAGAGCAAUUGGUAAGAGUUUGAGAUGGGUCAAGAUUCAAGAGGACAUGAUAUCCUUAAAGUCUAAUGAAAAGAAGGAGUCAGUGGCCGGGCACAGUGGUACAUGCCUGUAAUCCCAGCGACUCAGGAGGCUGAGGCAGGAGGAUCCGGAGUUCAAAGCCAGCCUCAACAAAAGCAAGGUGCUAAAUUCAGCAAGUUCCUGUUUCUAAAUAAAAUGCAAAAAUUGGACUGGGGAUAUGGCUCAGUGGCUGUGCCCCUGAGUUCAAUCCCAGGUUCCGCCCUCCCCCCCCAAUUGAGUCAAUGUUGCUGAUAGGCCAAUUAAGCUAAAACUAGAGUUGAUAGAGGGCAGUGUGGAGGUCAUUGGAGACCUUAAGAUAAGCUGUUGUUUCUUUACAGAUUUGGACAAAAGCUUGGUGCAGUGGGUUUAGGAAUAAACAGGAGCAAAGGGAGUAUAGAUAAUUCUUUCAAAGAAUUUGGCUAUAGAUAGAAAUAGAAAACAUGGUGUAAUAAGUGAUGAAUAACAGCAUGGGGAAAAGUAACAGCAUGUUCAUGUGUUAAUAGAAAUGCUCCAGUACAGAGAAAAAUCCCUGACGGAGGAGAGCCAGGGAAAAUUAUUAGAGCCUGAGUAGGAAAGUGGGACCAUGUUGGUGUGAGCUGGGUUGGUGGAUGUAUGUUGGGAAUUUGUGAAUUGAAAUAUGUAGCUGUGAGUGGAGGUUGGGAAUGAGAUGCUGGAGAUUAUAUAAAAAUGUAUAAAAGAAUUAUCUUUAAGAGUGAAUGGAUAGGGAAAGACAGUAUUGCUAGAUACUGCCUUUAGAUUAGUGGUAAUAAAUUUAAAAUGAGAUCAGUUUUCAGAUGAUUGUGUAUUUUUUUCUCUAGUUAACUUCUGGCCAGCGUAGGUGAUGAUGUAGCUGCAUAAGUACCUUGGAGAUCAAAGUAGUAGAGUUAGAAAAGCAUGAUAGGAAUUGAUUAUGGUAAACUCUAGAAUUUAAGAUGAUUAAGGAGGGAAAUGAAGAAAGAGGCCGUAAACUGUCUGGUAAGAUAAGUGCUUUCAUUGUAUAUCCCAUUUGGUCAAAGAACUGUUGAAGUUGUACAUCUAGAGGGGAAAAAAUUGGAAGAUAGAGUAGAAAGUUGAAAACAAUAUUGAAAUUAGGAAAGGGUAUGCAGUUAUUGAUAAUGGUAUUUUGUAUGAUUAUACAAGUAGAUGACUGAAUAAGGGUGGAAUGAAAGUCAACAGAGAAGAGGAAGUCAAGGAACCAUGAGAUGAGCCAGGAUAUAGGAAGGAUCAAACACACUGAUAUUGAAAUUAUGAGCUAUGAUCAGAUUAGGAAGAGGUGCCAAUGAGUAAAUCUUCAAGAAAUAUUAAGUGUGACAGGGGAUUAUAGCUGCCAUUGCUUGGCUUAGACCUCAUUUUGCAUGUACUUCCACAUGGGCUUUUCAUGAUUUGAUGUUUCCUAUGUUUUUACAGUGGACCCUAUACCCUAACCAGAGUCCUCAGUCCUUCAUAAGACUUUCGUAAUUUUGCCCUUUUAUAGAUCCUAUUUCUUGUUUGAAAUGCUUGUAGCUACCUUCUAUAAGAGCACUCUUCCCUAGUAGAUCAUUAUUUCCCGGUUAUAGGUUAUAGUAUUGCUUACAUUAUUUUGAAACUACAAACUUAUGUUCACUGUUGCCCCUCCAGUUGUUUUUAAACCAGGUCAACAGUUCCCUCAUGUUGAGAACCUUUUCUGUCUUUUGCCCGUAUAUAACACUGUAAAAAUGUUUUCAAUGAAUUCUAGGAAUAGAUCUAUUUAACAAGUGAUUAUUUAAAGUCAGUUAUGAAUAAACAAACAUUGAUAUGAUUCUUUUAUGUUUAUCUCAGUAAGAAUGAUGUUUACUUAGAUUUAUUUAUUUCAAGUUAUCACAGUUAAUGAAAAAAGUUUAAAUGAUACUGAGUUUUUCUUUUAUCUAUAUGUUACAAGAUAAUUAUUAUUAAUUUGAUUAUGGAAAAGGUAAAAAUAUAGAAACAAUUUCUUAUUGAUUGUACUAACAGAUUGAAGUGAAAAUAGAAAAUAUAGUUACUUUUACAUUUUGAAGAAAAUCUUACUUUUUUAUAUUCUCUGCCUGCCAGUUUGUGCCUUCUAUUUUGGUUUUGGGAAUUGAGUUCACAGUUCAAAGAAGGAGGCUCAAAACUUACUGAGAUAAUCUAUGGAAUAAAGAAAACAGGUAAUGUAAAAGUGAUUGUAAUAAGUUAAACAAAUGCUACCCCUCCCUUUUACUAACUUGUUAUUUAAAUGGGGCAAGUUUUUACAAGAUGAGAAAUGAACAUAUUUACCUGUAUGAUGCUAGUUUUAUUCUUAAUUUUAUUUAUCUGAAAGAAUCUUUAGGUAAAGAUUUUUUUGUGACUAAGUUGAUUUUUCUUAUGAUUUCUUGUGUAUGUCUCAGUUUUAUAAUUAAAUGGCAUAUGAAAAUAAAUCAUUAUUAUUAAUUUUUCAGUUUAUAUUAUAUUUUAUUUUGAUACAUUAUUAAGUUAAUAUUAUAUAUAAAGUCUAUCAAAAAUUAAUUUGGGUUUUUUCAUUUUUAUCAGAAAUUAUGAGUGGAGGAUCUCAAGUCCACAUUUUUUGGGGUGCUCCAGCUAGUCCACUGGAAAUGACAGUAUCACAGAAAACAACUUUAAUGUCCACUGCAGACCCCUGGAAAACAAUUCAACUUUGGUACAAUCAGCAUUCUUUGCAUCUGAAGGACAAAAACCAUGAGCCAAACAAUCUAAAAGACUAUCAAGUCUCAGAAGCUAUUACUGGCCCUCCAGAUCUUUUAAGUGGUUGUUGUUUAGUGAAUUCUGUGAGUAGAUCUGUUCAAGUUAAAGAUGAUUUUACAUACUUUACUUCAGAAACACAGAAUAUAAAAUCCCAGAAGAUUUACCCUUCAGGGCUGAGUGAUGUAACUAAUUCUAAUGUGCAAAUACACGGAUUUAAGGGCACAGUUCAGCAUUUACCUGAAGAAAAAAAGAAUCAAAAGGUUCAAUGUGAAAAUAAUAAAAUUACAGAUGAAGAGCCUAAAAAUCAAUCAAACUUAUGUCAAAACUUUCAAACAAAUUCCUUUCGGUUAGAUCAUAAAUGUGCAGUUAUAUUGGAUUUGGUUGGUAGUACUAAACAAAUUAAUACAGAUCUUGAAGCUGUAGAAACAAAGUAUAAGCCAACAGAACACCAUGAAAUGCAAAACCAGUGUCUGGACUUCUUUUCCUCUAAUGCAGUGGAUGAGCCAAGGUCUGAUAGAGCAGUUAGGAAUGUCUCAAAACUUAAAAUAUCUACUGACACUGAAUUUCUGAGUAUAAUGAUCUCCAGCCAGGUUGCUUUUUUAGCUCAAAGGGAGGAUAGAGCUCUGAAUUCUAUAAAUAAAGGGACCAUAAGCAUGGAAACUGAACCAAAGGCAAGUCAUGGGGAAAUAAGAAUAACUGAAGAUAGUUUUAUUCAGCCUAAUGAUGAUUUUGCAGAAGGACAUGAAAGAGGACAAAAUGAAGAAACAUAUUCCUUAGAACUUUUUAGUCCUAUUUGUCCUGAAAAAAAAAGUAGCCACAUUCACAUAAACCCUGAAAAAGAUGUUGAAGAAAAUAUAGGAUCUCAAGAACUUUUCAGUUCUGAAGAUAAACUGUCACCAAAUGAGAUCUGUAUUGAGUUGUGUCGCUCAGGAACACAGUGUUCCCAACUAAAUACCUUUCACAAAAGUGCUGUUAAAAGAAAUUGGAGCUCUGAAGAUAAAUCAGGCCAUUCGAAAGCUCUGUCUAAAGUCCUCCAAGUAUCUAAGAAAAUGAAGUUGGGUUCUAAUGCAAGAGAUUCUAUCAUAGCAAUGAGCCAGAGGAAUGUGUCUGAAUUUAAGGGUAUUAAAAAAAUAUCAUUAAUAAAAAAUUGUGAUUCUAAAAGUCAGAAGUAUAAUUGUUUAGCUAUGGUGUUAACUCCAAGUCAGAUGAAAGAAAUAAACAUAAAAUCUGGACCCAAUUCUGGAUCUAAAGUGCCUUUAGCAACAAUUAUAGUAAUUGAUCAAUCAGAAAUUAAGAAGAAAGUUUUUCUGUGGAGAACUGCUGCAUUUUGGGCACUUACAGUAUUUCUCGGAGAUAUAAUUUUACUCACAGGUG